rnacentral:lncRNA from 1 species
GAAGAGAAAAAGGGAUGGAGGUAAUUAUGAACAGGACUGGACCUGUGUGUGAAUCACAGAAUACAAUUAACAGGUCUUUCCCAGACCUGGAGGCUUCUUGGUGCUGCCAGUGAAAAGGAGACCGGAGUACAAUGUUCUCCUUGUCCAUGUACCUCGCUUUUGUUUCAGUGACCCUUCGCCUCCCACACAUACACAAGUUUGAAUUUCCUGUUGGCUCUGAGAUCCUAAUUUGUAACUCAAGAAAGACUAAGAGACUUGUCCAGCACAAGAAGUUCAGCUAGAAUUCAAACUCAUGUCUUGUGAUUUGGGGGCUCAUUGUUAUUUCCAACAUGCCACAUUGCCCUCUGGAGAUUGUUAGAAGGAAGGGACUUUGUAAACUGAAAAGAACUAAAUAAAUAU